rnacentral:lncRNA from 1 species
UGGGGUUCAUCGUAAUCUUAAACAUAAUAAGAUGCAGCUAAAAUGAUGAAUCAAUACCAUAUUUUAUUAUCAAAUAAUAAAUAUCAUUAUAUAAGUUAAAAAAUUAUAAAGAAAAGUUCUAGCGCAACACACUUGCGAUUGACUUAUAGGGUACUCUUCUUUCACUAGUUGCAUCCUACUCCUAAUAGUGAACCUGAACCUACUAUAGCCAACAUACACAAAAGGACCCGAAUG